GUGCAGCAGUCGCGAAAACUUUGCAAUACACGAAAGUGUGACAGGGCUAUCCCGAGUGCCGUCCGCUGAGGAUGGCUUUUACCCAGUUUAGAAAGCUGGGGGAAUAAGGAGAGGGCAAGUCUGGUGUCAGCCGCCGCGGUAAUACCAGCUCUCCGAGUGGUGUGGAUGUUUAUUGGGCCUAAAGCAUCCGUAGCUGGCUGUUCAAGUCCCCUGUUAAAUCCACCGAUUUAAUCGUUGGUUUGCGGGGGAUACUGUUCGGCUAGGGGGCGGGAGAGGCAGACGGUAUUUUCGGGGUAGGGGUGAAAUCCUAUAAUCCCGGGAAGACCACCAGUGGCGAAGGCUGUCUGCUAGAACGCGCCCGACGGUGAGGGAUGAAAGCUGGGGGAGCGAACCGGAUUAGAUACCCGGGUAGUCC
rnacentral:rRNA from 1 species